rnacentral:rRNA from 1 species
GAUGAACGCUGGCGGCGUGCCUAAUACAUGCAAGUCGAGCGAACAGACGAGGAGCUUGCUCCUCUGACGUUAGCGGCGGACGGGUGAGUAACACGUGGAUAACCUACCUAUAAGACUGGGAUAACUUCGGGAAACCGGAGCUAAUACCGGAUAAUAUAUUGAACCGCAUGGUUCAAUAGUGAAAGACGGUUUUGCUGUCACUUAUAGAUGGAUCCGCGCCGCAUUAGCUAGUUGGUAAGGUAACGGCUUACCAAGGCAACGAUGCGUAGCCGACCUGAGAGGGUGAUCGGCCACACUGGAUGUGAACCAGGGCCCAGGACCGUAGGGGAGGCAACGGUAGGGAAUUUUCCGCAAGGGGGGAAAGCCUGACGGAGCAACGCGGGGGGGGUGAAGAAGGUCUUCGGAUCGUAAAACUUUUUUUUUGGGGAAAAAAAAAUUUUUAAAAAAUUAUGAACGUUUUGACGGUACCCAGACAGAAAGCACCGGUUAACAACGU